rnacentral:rRNA from 1 species
ACCUGCCCUUCAGAGGGGGGACAACAGUUGGAAACGACUGCUAAUACCGCAUACGAUCUAAUCUCGGCAUCGAGGAUAGAUGAAAAGGUGGCCUCUACAUGUAAGCUAUCACUGAAGGAGGGGAUUGCGUCUGAUUAGCUAGUUGGAGGGGUAACGGCCCACCAAGGCGAUGAUCAGUAGCCGGUCUGAGAGGAUGAACGGCCACAUUGGGACUGAGACACGGCCCAGACUCCUACGGGAGGCAGCAGUGGGGAAUCUUCCGCAAUGGACGAAAGUCUGACGGAGCAACGCCGCGUGAGUGAUGACGGCCUUCGGGUUGUAAAGCUCUGUUAAUCGGGACGAAAGGCCUUCUUGCGAAUAGUGAGAAGGAUUGAC